rnacentral:rRNA from 1 species
CGCUGGCGGCAGGCUUAACACAUGCAAGUCGAACGGUAACAUAGAGAAGCUUGCUUCUUUGAUGACGAGUGGCGGACGGGUGAGUAAUGCUUGGGAAUCUGGCUUAUGGAGGGGGAUAACUACGGGAAACUGUAGCUAAUMCCGCGUAAUAUCGAAAGAUUAAAGUGUGGGACCUUCGGGCCACAUGCCAUAGGAUGAGCCCAAGUGGGAUUAGGUAGUUGGUGAGGUAAAGGCUCACCAAGCCGACGAUCUCUAGCUGGUCUGAGAGGAUGACCAGCCACACUGGGACUGAGACACGGCCCAGACUCCUACGGGAGGCAGCAGUGGGGAAUAUUGCGCAAUGGGGGCAACCCUGACGCAGCCAUGCCGCGUGAAUGAAGAAGGCCUUCGGGUUGUAAAGUUCUUUCGGUAGCGAGGAAGGUGGUUAGUUUAAUAGGCUAGCCAAUUGACGUUAACUACAGAAGAAGCACCGGCUAACUCCGUGCC